ACUACGGGUGGCAGCAGUGAGGAAUAUUGGUCAAUGGGCGCGAGCCUGAACCAGCCAAGUCGCGUGAGGGAAGACGGCCCUACGGGUUGUAAACCUCUUUUGCCGGGGAGCAACGGGCGCCACGUGUGGCGCCACUGCGAGUACCCGGAGAAAAAGCAUCGGCUAACUCCGUGCCAGCAGCCGCGGUAAUACGGAGGAUGCGAGCGUUAUCCGGAUUUAUUGGGUUUCAAGGGUGCGUAGGCGGAGCGUUAAGUCAGUGGUCAAAUUGAGGGUCUCAACCCCUUCCCGCCAUUGAAACUGGAGAUCUGGAGUGGAAGAGAAGUAUGCGGAAUGCGUGGUGUAGCGGUGAAAUGCAUAGAUAGCACGCAGAACCCCGAUUGCGAAGGCAGCAUGCCGGCUUCCUACUGACGCUGAAGCACGAAAGCGUGGGGAUCGAACAGGAUUAGAUACCCUGGUAGUC
rnacentral:rRNA from 1 species